rnacentral:tRNA from 1 species
GGGGCGGUAGCUCAGUUGGGAGAGCGUCGCGUUCGCAAUGCGAAGGUCGAGAGUUCAAUCCUCUUCCGCUCCACCA